rnacentral:rRNA from 1 species
UCGCAAUCUUCUUUAUCGNUUUGAACUCCYAAAAAAAAUUACGCUGUUAUCCCUAAGGUAACUUUUUCUUUUAAUCUAAAUAAUAGGAUCAAAAAAUCAUUAAUUAAUGAUUAAAUAAAAAAAAGUUUAUUAAAUUUUUCUGUCACCCCAACUAAACAAAUUAAUAUUUACAAAAUUUUUAUUCCAAUAAUUUAUUAACAACAAAUUUGUAAAGCUCUAUAGGGUCUUCUUGUCUUCUAUAAUUAUUUAAGCUUUUUCACUUAAAAAUAAAAUUCUAAAAAAAUUUUCUCGAGAGAGCAGGUUUCUCAUCAAUCCCUUCAUUCCAGCUUCUAAUUAAGAAACUAAUUAUUAUGCUACCUUUGCACGGUCAAAAUACCGCGGCCAUUUAAAAUUAAUUCAUUGGGCAGGAGCGCCUUAAAUUAUAAUCAAAGGAC